GUCCCUGUAGCGCAAUGGGUGGCGCGUUGCAUUUCAAAUCCAAAGGCCGUGGGUUCGAAUCCUACCUGGGAUA